GCUAACACAUGCAAGUCGAACGGGGUCUUCGGAUCUAGUGGCGGACGGGUGAGUAACGCGUGAGAUCUGCCUUCAGGAUGGGGACAACAGUUGGAAACGACUGCUAAUACCCGAUAUGACGAAAGUUGAAAGAUUUAUCGCCUGGAGAUGAGCUCGCGUCAGAUUAGCUAGAUGGUGUGGUAACGGCGCACCAUGGCGACGAUCUGUAGCUGGUCUGAGAGGAUGAGCAGCCACACUGGGACUGAGACACGGCCCAGACUCCUACGGGAGGCAGCAGUGGGGAAUUUUCCGCAAUGGGCGCAAGCCUGACGGAGCAAUACCGCGUGAGGGAGGAAGGCUCUUGGGUCGUAAACCUCUUUUAUCAGGGAAGAACACAAUGACGGUACCUGAGGAAUCAGCAUCGGCUAACUCCGUGCCAGCAGCCGCGGUAAUACGGAGGAUGCAAGCGUUAUCCGGAAUGAUUGGGCGUAAAGCGUCCGUAGGUGGUCAUGUAAGUCUGUGGUUAAAGCGUGGGGCUCAACCCCAUAAGGGCCAUGGAAACUACACGACUAGAGUCAAGUAGGGGUAGAGGGAAUUCCCAGUGUAGCGGUGAAAUGCGUAGAGAUUGGGAAGAACACCGGUGGCGAAAGCGCUCUACUGGACUUAAACUGACAC
rnacentral:rRNA from 1 species